GUGCCAGCCGCCGCGGUAAGACAGAGGGGGCAAGCGUUGUCCGGAAUUACUGGGCGUAAAGCGCACGUAGGUGGCUCGUUGCGUCGGUGCUGAGAGCGCCGGGCUUAACCCGGCGAGGUGCAGCGAUACGAGCGAGCUCGAGGCAGGGAGAGGGUGGCGGAAUUCCGGGCGUAGUGGUGAAAUGCGUAGAGAUCCGGAGGAACGCCAGUGACGAAGGUGGCCACCUGGCCCUCGCCUGACACUGAGGUGCGAUAGCGUGGGGAGCGAACCGGAUUAGAAACCCUCGUAGUCC
rnacentral:rRNA from 1 species